rnacentral:SRP_RNA from 1 species
CGCCGCUGUUGACUGGCGAGGAGCCCGUGCUGGGGCGGGCGAAGAGGAGGCGGGCUUGGCAGAGACUGGGCCGGGCGAGUGCAGAGAGGGGGAAGUACCGACUGAAGGCCGAAAGAGAGAAACGAAAAACCCAGUCAUGGAAUGGCU